rnacentral:rRNA from 1 species
AGUGAGCGCUGGCGGUAGGCCUAACACAUGCAAGUCGAACGGCAGCACAGUAAGAGCUUGCUCUUACGGGUGGCGAGUGGCGGACGGGUGAGGAAUACAUCGGAAUCUACUUUUUCGUGGGGGAUAACGUAGGGAAACUUACGCUAAUACCGCAUACGGCCUACGGGUGAAAGCAGGGGAUCUUCGGACCUUGCGCGAUUGAAUGAGCCGAUGUCGGAUUAGCUAGUUGGCGGGGUAAAGGCCCACCAAGGCGACGAUCCGUAGCUGGUCUGAGAGGAUGAUCAGCCACACUGGAACUGAGACACGGUCCAGACUCCUACGGGAGGCAGCAGUGGGGAAUAUUGGACAAUGGGCGCAAGCCUGAUCCAGCCAUACCGCGUGGGUGAAGAAGGCCUUCGGGUUGUAAAGCCCUUUUGUUGGGAAAGAAAAGCAGCAGGUUAAUACCCCGCUGUUCUGACGGUACCCAAAGAAUAAGCACCGGCUAACUUCGUG